UCACAAGUUUUUAUCAAUCUCUAUAAAUAGCAUUUUGAUGAAUAUGUUCAUCAGUUGCAGAUUGAACAAAAAAUAAAUUAGCUCUGCGGUGAAAAGACCCUAAGCCUGGGAGAGUAAAAAGUUCGCUUCUUCAACGCAAUGCUGAGCAAAAAAUUAAUUGGAAUUGGCGCAUCGCAAAAAGUCGAAUCCAGUCACGAUCGAGUUGGCCGGAGCGAUCAAGCCGGCGAGCAUAAAUAACGUACCCCGCAACCCCUGCUUCAAUGAAUGUUUUUACCAAAACCUAUAAUUGGUCAGGGCGGGCGUUCAAGGCCCUGGCGUUGUUCAGCACCAGCAGCAGGGCAAGUACACGCGCGAAAUUUUGUCGUUCGCCAACAAUAGAGAAAGGAGGCAGUGACUCUGACAUUGGCCCAAGGUCAGAGUCGACCUGCUGCACGGCUGUUUUAGUAGGAGGAGGAUUCGCUGGCGGGUGUGGCCCUGGGAGGGGAGCCAGGCGCGAACACACCUCAACCACCUGCCCUGAACACGAGAGAAGCCGGUAUAAAAGGGCUCGAACGCUUAGCCAAAGCAUCAGUCUUGCAACAGACAGCUCAACAAACCUCAACCAACCAUGUACAAGCUUAUGAUCCUCGUCCUCGCCCUCGUGGCCGUUGCUGCUUCCCAGUACAUCAGCCCGUACGCUUAUGGCGGCUACAACGCCUACAACGGCGUGUACCGUGGUGCCUACGCCAGCCCCUACGUUGCCGGAGUCGCUGCCACCCCCUACGCCUACAGCAACCUGGGCUACCGCGCUGGAUACCCCGCUGCUUACUCCUACCUUGGUUAAGCUGAGUUUGUAACUGAUCCGGGGACCGGAAACCGUCCUAGGUGCCGGACCCUGGUCCAGAGAGCUGUCCAACUUGCUGUCUGAUCCCUCAACCAACGACCGACCCUUGCUCAACGCCCCGCGGACUCAUGAUUUGGAAUUUGCGAUUCUGAUUUGACUGACAAGGAUUUCACAUUUCGGCAAAAGCUAAAUAAAACUUGGCUAUAUUUUGCAAAAAAA